rnacentral:rRNA from 1 species
GAUGAACGCUGGCGGCGUGCCUAAUACAUGCAAGUCGAGCGAACAGACGAGGAGCUUGCUCCUCUGACGUUAGCGGCGGACGGGUGAGUAACACGUGGAUAACCUACCUAUAAGACUGGGAUAACUUCGGGAAACCGGAGCUAAUACCGGAUAAUAUAUUGAACCGCAUGGUUCAAUAGUGAAAGACGGUUUUGCUGUCACUUAUAGAUGGAUCCGCGCCGCAUUAGCUAGUUGGUAAGGUAACGGCUUACCAAGGCAACGAUGCGUAGCCGACCUGAGAGAGUGAUCGGCCACACUGGAACUGAGACACGGGCCGGACUCCUACGGGAGGCAGCAGUAGGGAAACUUCCGCAAUGGGCGAAAGCCUGACGGAGCAACGCCGCGUGAGUGAUGAAGGUCUUCGGAUCGUAAAACUCUGUUAUUAGGGAAGAACAAAUGUGUAAGUAACUAUGCACGUCUUGACGGUACCUAAUCAGAAAGCCACGGCUAACUACGUG